AAAAAAAAAAGAAAAAAAAAAGAAGUAAAACAAAAGUAAACUAAAAAAAAAAAGUUAUCUAAGUCUGAAUAAACCACUUUGUUUAGCAAAACAUCUGCUCAACUCAGUCUUGUAAUGAUCAGACACAUUAAAUCUGUGCAGAUAAGUCAGCGCAAGUGGCUUGUUUCCCUUGUGUCUCACUGGUACGGGGUGGUGAGGAGGAGUCUGUGUAAUUACGAGGCAGAGGACAACUAGGAGACAACUGUCAAAAUCAUCCCCGGUUUCUUACAAGAGGGUAUUGACCACAAAUCUGUUUUUGUGGUCACGUUCCUCUGCAUAGCAGAGUACGGGCAUGGUCCAAACAGAAGUGGAGGAGCUGCUAGGUGGCCCAGGGGUACACCACAGCAUCCCUGGGAAGGAAGAGAGAUAGAGGGAGAGCCCCUGUACUGCCAGUCAGCACAGACACUGGACUCAAACAGCCUGGGCUGAGAGAAAAGGAUCCUUUUCUCAGCUGUGUGGGAGCAACUCAGCAGAAGGAAUAUGGCAGUGCAGCUGGAUGAACUGUGCAGACAUGUAGGAGGAGAGGACUUUCUGCAUUGCCACAUAUUGCCAGAACCUGAAGGUUGAACUGUAAGCCAGUGCACGCUAUGUGUCAUCCAUUAGUUCAUUUGACAUCUGAGUUGUUUUUUAUAGCGUGACCACUUCUCACCCACAUACAGGGAUUGAAACUCCCCAAAGUCUAGUGUAGGAUGGGAGAAGAUAUGGUAGUUUGCAUGUUUGGGACAGAGGGUAGGUAAAAAAAAAUUUGCCUAGUAUGAAAAUUUUCGAGGGGCUUCACUUUGUUUAUGUUUCAUGGGGUUUAGGUGGGUACACAAGGACUAAUAAAGGUUAAUGUUAUUGGAGAGCUUUUACACUGUGUGCUACCACUAUAGGUCAGUUUUGGCCUGGGUAAAAUGAUUAGAUCUUUUCAAUACAAUUCCAUUUUUCAAUAACAGCACACGAACAUUUGUAGGAGGAACUUAGGAACAUUUGGACUUCUUCACUUGUCCAACUUGCAAUCACACUGAGGGAAAAUCAAAGGUUAGCAAAACUAAAGGCAAUAAAGAUUUUUUAUCAUCAAAUUCAACUCGGAAGUAGUAAGUAUCUCCUCUGGAGAUAAACAAUUCUAAAUACAGAGGUGAAAAAUGUUCUGUAAACUUCCUGUGUUGUUUUUUUUUUUAAAAUUUCUCUUACCUAUAAAUGUAAUGGGAAGUGCUGUUCUUACUUGAUAUAAGUGAAUAGCAUCACUUCUUCCUGAAUCCAACUAAACCCACAAAUCCUGCAAAAGUUGCUUAAAGAUGAAGGAAAAUUGCUGAUGUGAUUCCAUGUUAAUUAAUAAAAACCACGCUUUUCUGACAUCAAUUACUCGUAUGAUCUGUAAAAGGAAUGCUGUAGACUUCUGUGAGGUACUUGCUUCAAUAUUGUGACACAAUGUUGUGUCAGAAAAAUGCAGAAACUCCCACUGCAAAAAACAAUUUUCACUUUGAACUGGAAAAAUUUUAAGUAGGUUGGCAGUAAGUAAUCUUCAGCACAUGGCUUCUCUACUUAUUUUCUGCAGAGAUCCAUGCCAGGUUUCAUCUAAUUCAACCUUUUCUUCUGUGGGCCUGGAAAAAAAUAAUAGGACAUUACUGAUUAACCAAAACGAGAGAAAGACUAAUACAAUGGUAAAAAUGAAGGAGACAGAAGAGUCUUUAAAACAGUGUAAAAUAGAUGGAUUAGCAAUCUAGACCCAGUGAAACAGACACAUUUUAAUACAGGAGAAUUAUAACCUGAAAACAACAAAGAGGGUAGAAGGGCACUACAGGCACAUAUCUUAACAUGAGUUCAUUUGUUGCAGAGGUAAAAAAGAAUUAUGCAGUUUGUGGAUGUAUAAACAAGUUAAGAGAAGUGUUUUUUUCCGCUGUAUUUCUCAUUGCAGAGAUUUUUUUCCAUGGUAUGAAUUCUAAGCUUUUACUGGUACUUCCCAAUUCUCACUGAGAUCACAAUUUUAUCUUUAUUAGGAACAUUUUUCCACUGCAAGGAGGGUGUUUCUUCCUUGAUUAUGGCAAUAAAUCACCACAGUAAUAGGUAGCAGCCAACUAGAGAGGAGAUGAACUUCUCACUUAGCUUCUUUGUUCACACCACAGUGGUUUAUUUUCAUCUCCCUUGAUAACUUCGGAAACCUCAGAGUAAAUAAAUGGUAAAUUAUAUCCCCCCAUUCAUAACACUUAUCAUUGUGUGAGCUGGAUACAAAUUCUUGCAUACAUCUCUAUCUUUAUGAUUCAAAGAAGCUAAAUGUAAUGAUCAGCAGCCAACCAAAAGUAGUGUGCAGAACAGUGACCCAGUGCUCUACCUUGUAGUUUGACAACAUUUUGCUCUGUUAGAAGGAGAACUGAUGAUAGAGAUAGGUGGUUAUAUGAUGCAAUUCCAUCUAUUGCAAAAGAAAAGCCUGUUUCUUUGAAUGCAUUAUUAAUGCAAGCGGAGCAGACAUCAUCCUUGGUAACAGUGCCAAGUGUCUUGCAGUUAACACUCAGUCCAAAUAGCCCUGCC
ensembl:lncRNA